rnacentral:rRNA from 1 species
GACGAACGCUGGCGGCGUGCUUAACACAUGCAAGUCGAGCGGUAAGGCCCUUUCGGGGGUACACGAGCGGCGAACGGGUGAGUAACACGUGGGUGACCUGCCCUCAGCUCUGGGAUAAGCCUGGGAAACUGGGUCUAAUACUGGAUAUGACUCCACGGUGCAUGUCGUGGGGUGGAAAGCCUUGUGCGGCUGAGGAUGGGCCCGCGGCCUAUCAGCUUGUUGGUGGGGNGAUGGCCUACCAAGGCGACGACGGGUAGCCGGCCUGAGAGGGCGACCGGCCACACUGGGACUGAGACACGGCCCAGACUCCUACGGGAGGCAGCAGUGGGGAAUCUUGCGCAAAUGGGCGAAAGCCUGACGCAGCGACGCCGCGUGAGGGAUGACGGCCUGU